rnacentral:rRNA from 1 species
GGCUUGCGCAUGGGCGAAACCUGCGCAGCGACGCCGCGUGGGUGAUGAAGGGUUUCGGCUCGUAAAGCCCUUUUCUGUGUGACGAUAGUGACGGUAGCACAGGAAUAAGUGUCGGCUAACUACGUGCCAGCAGCCGCGGUAAUAACGUAGGACGCAAACGUUAUCCGGAAUUACUGGGCGUAAAGGGCGCGCAGGCGGAUCAGUAAGUGAGGCAUGAAAGCCUCAGGCUAAACCUGAGGAGGCUGUCUGAGACUGCUGAUCUAGAGUACGAUAGAGGGGUGUAGAAUUCCGCGUGUAGCGGUGAAAUGCGUAGAGAUGCGGAGGAAUACCAGUGGCGAAGGCGGCACCCUGGAUCGAAACUGACGCUGAGGCGCGAAAGCAUGGGUAGCGAACGGGAUUAGAAACCCCGGUAGUCCAUGCCGUAAACGAUGUGCACUCGAUGUUCGGCUCACAUUGUGGGUUGAGUGUCUAAGCUAACGCGGUAAGUGCACCGCCUGGGGAGUACGGUCGCAAGGCUAAAACUCAAAGGAAUUGACGGGGGCCCGCACAAGCAGCGGAGCGUGUGGUUUAAUUCGAGGCUACACGAAGAACCUUACCUGGGCUUGACAUGGCGGUGGUAGGGAACCGAAAGGGGACCGACCUUCGGGAGCCGUCACAGGUGUUGCAUGGCUGUCGUCAGCUCGUGUCGUGAGAUGUUCGGUUAAGUCCGAAAACGAGCGCAACCCUCGGGGUUAGUUACAAGUGUCUAACUCGACUGCCCGUGACAAACGGGAGGAAAGGUGGGGAUGAUGUCAAGUCAGCAUGACCUUUAUGUCCAGGGCUACACACACGCUACAAUGGGCGACACAUAGGUAGCGAAAGGGCGACCUGGAGCCAAUCCACCA